UGUCUCGUCUCGGGUUCCUAUAAC
rnacentral:siRNA from 1 species